UACGUAGGGUGCAAGCGUUGUCCGGAAUUAUUGGGCGUAAAGAGCUCGUAGGCGGUCUGUCGCGUCGGCUGUGAAAACCCGGAGCUCAACUCCGGGCCUGCAGUCGAUACGGGCAGACUGGAGUUCGGCAGGGGAGACUGGAAUUCCUGGUGUAGCGGUGAAAUGCGCAGAUAUCAGGAGGAACACCGGUGGCGAAGGCGGGUCUCUGGGCCGAUACUGACGCUGAGGAGCGAAAGCCAGGGGAGCAAACGGG
rnacentral:rRNA from 1 species